rnacentral:rRNA from 1 species
GAUGAACGCUAGCGGCAGGCCUAACACAUGCAAGUCGAGGGGUAGAUAUUUUCGGAUAUUGAGACCGGCGCACGGGUGCGUAACGCGUAUGCAAUCUACCUUGUACAGAGGGAUAGCCCAGAGAAAUUUGGAUUAAUACCUCAUAGUAUUAUUGAAUGGCAUCAUUUACUAAUUAAAGUUCCAACGGUACAAGAUGAGCAUGCGUCCUAUUAGCUAGUUGGUGUGGUAACGGCAUACCAAGGCUACGAUAGGUAGGGGUCCUGAGAGGGAGAUCCCCCCCACUGGUACUGAGACACGGACCAGACUCCUACGGGAGGCAGCAGUGAGGAAUAUUGGACAAUGGGCGCAAGCUUGAUCCAGCCAUGCCGCGUGCAGGAAGAAGCAUCUAUGGUGUGUAAACUGCUUUUGUACGGGAAGAAACACUCCUACGUGUAGGAGCUUGACGGUACCGUAAGAAUAAGGAUCGGCUAACUCCGUGCCAGCCGCCGCCGUAAAAC